rnacentral:rRNA from 1 species
CACAUGCAAGUCGAGGGGUAGAAUAGCAAUAUUUGAGACCGGCGCACGGGUGCGUAACGCGUAUGCAAUCUACCUUUUACAGAGGGAUAGCCCAGAGAAAUUUGGAUUAAUACCUCAUAGUAUAGUGAGUUGGCAUCAACACACUAUUAAAGUCACAACGGUAAAAGAUGAGCAUGCGUCCCAUUAGCUAGUUGGUAAGGUAACGGCUUACCAAGGCAACGAUGGGUAGGGGUCCUGAGAGGGAGAUCCCCCACACUGGUACUGAGACACGGACCAGACUCCUACGGGAGGCAGCAGUGAGGAAUAUUGGUCAAUGGGCGCAAGCCUGAACCAGCCAUGCCGCGUGCAGGAUGACGGUCCUAUGGAUUGUAAACUGCUUUUGCACAGGAAGAAACACUCGGUCGUGACCGAGCUUGACGGUACUGUGAGAAUAAGGAUCGGCUAACUCCGUGCCAGCAGCCG